rnacentral:rRNA from 1 species
AUGGCGCUGCGGGAUAGCUCCUGGGUACCCGGGAGAGAGAGAUGUGAGAGGAAGAGAGAAAAGAGAAAGGAGAAAGGGAGGAAGAACGGGGGGACAAGGGGAAGGAAGAAGGAUGAGGUGCAGGGCUUGCUGGUUCGGUGGAGAUUGUCGCCGUUGGCGUCUAGUACUCGGGCCAGGCGGCGCUGGUGGAUCGAGGUGCUCGGGGAUGAGCGAGCAGAGGAGGGGAUCGAUGGAUUUGGAAGGAGUGCAUUGGUUGGGUGGCGGCGAAAAUCAAGGGAGAGGGUCGGAAAGAAUUUGGAUCGGGAGGAGAUCUCGAGGUGGGAUGGUGAGUGGUAG